AGUGAUUUGUUCUUGGUGGCGAUUUUGGUCAUUACAGCGGUUCCAACCUAUCAUUAUCUCCCAUAUAUAUAAAAGACCAAUUCUAACCCUAAUUUCAGAAACACUAGGUUGCUGAAGACGCGUGUGUACAUUACUGCUUUCAUUGUGUGGCGAUCUCCAAUCCUAUGCGUUCUCUGACGAUCUUUUCCGGUGGCAUCUCCUCCUUUGGCGACGAUCUCCUCCGGUGACGUCUCCUCUAGCUUCUUGCUGCCCUUCUUCUCCGCCGAAAUUCUUAGUGCCUCCCUUUCAUUCUCCUUUUCCUUCCAUUGAUGGUCAUUCUCUCUCUCUAUCUCUCUUUCUUUUUGCGUUCGCUUCUUGCUUAACAAUUUGUCAUAACGGUGAAAAUGUGAUAUGAAUUUUGAUAAGGACAGUGUUUGAUGAUGGAAACCUAGCGCAAGAGAAUAGCUUUCAUAUAUUACAUAACACUCAACAAUCAAUGGAUUUAACUGGUAACUCUCCACUUGAUGCUCUUGGAGUAGUUCUUGAAAAAGAACAUCCUGGUCGUAUUCGAAGUUUAGGUAUGGGGGCUGUCCCAACAGUGGCUUUCAAGAACACUACUACAAGGAUUACUCAUAUGAACUUAGGUUCUUCAAAUGAUGCUGGCACAUCAUCCACUUGUGGUUUCAAUGUGCAAGAAGAGUUGGAUACUGUUAAGGCACAAUUGCAAGCACUAAUUUUCUACAUUGCUUCUAAAGAAGGAGGUUUAGAUUCCAAAGUAAUUGACUGCAAUGAUUCUUAAUCAACAAGUUUCACAGAAUUGAAUCAAGAGAGUGAGAUUCUAUCGUAGGUCUUUUGGAGCAAGCAAUAGAGCAGCGUGAAAUAUGAUGGAGAUUUUAUGUGUUAAGAGCUACAUGUUAAGACAUUGAUAGUUAAAAAAUUAUGUUAUGUUUGAUACUUUGUAUAAGAGUUAUUACUUUUGAUUUCCAAUACUAAAAAAUCAUAUAUUAUGUUUAAUACU